AAGGAAUUCACAUUACAGUGAAAGAGAUGCACAUGACCAUAGGACCCAGUAGACUAGUCACAUUCUGUCUUGAUAAAGUGUUGGAAUGAUGUUUUUAAGGUACAGCCUAAUUAGAACUGAUACAUGAAAAAAUGGGAAGUUAUUCUCUAUAUGAUAGUUUGUACCUUAUGCCAAUGAUUCGUUUUUUUCUUUGUUUUUUUUUUUUGUUUUGACAGAGUCUUGCUCUGUCACCCAGGCUGGAGUACAGGCACUAUCUCGGCUCACUGCAACUCCUGCUUCCCAGGCUCAAGCAAUUCUCCUGCCUCAGCCUCCUGAGUAGCUGGGAUUACAGUGGAUGCUCCCACACCAGAUUUCAAACAUUUCAUUGAAGGAGAUCAAGAAAAUUAAUUACUGAUCAAGAGCCCACCUAAACUUGAAAACAAGCUUAUGUUACUAUAGAAGAAUGAGAGAUCACCUGGGCAAAUAUAAGACAUUUUAGAUGAUCCAUAAUAGAAUUACUAACCUCCAGUCUGUCUGCCAGCUCCACAAAGACACAAGAGCAAACCCAGAAAUUCUGAGAACCUUCCUUGAAAUCAUUGAACAGCAAAUGAACAAGCUGUUGCCAACCUGGGGUAGAAGACAGCAGAAUUCCAGCAAGUUUCCUGAAUGGAUUCCCAUUCACUGCUCUUGUUAAGCUGUGGAAUCCAUGUGGCCAGACCUAUGAUUGCUGUUUUUCUUCUCUUUGGCCAGGACUUGGGAGAGCUCUGGUAAGAGACAGGGAAACCUUUCCUUUCCCCUUCCCAGGGACUCAGUAAAUAUGCAGGCACCACAGCCAGGGUAUUCAUUGAUCAGAUGUACAUCCCUCCUCCACAACAGACAAAUUGAUCACUCUGGAUCACCAAGAAGAUCUACGUUGUUUACAUAAUAACAAUAGUGGGGUUUAUUACAGUGUAAUAUUGUAAUGACUUUUUGUCCAGGAAACUUGUGAACAUCCCAUUUUUAUCCACAAACUGUUAUUCUUUCCUGCAAGGUCCCCAAGGGAAGUAUACACACAAUAUAAUUAAAACACAACAAAGAAGCAUUCUACUGUGCGUUUACCAUACACUCUAAAGUGGAAUUUCAAGACACUAAGCGAAAGCAUACUUUAUUUUAAAUGUUAGAUAUGCUGGUAUGUUUUGUACAAUCAAAUACUUAUGAGACCUGUUCUCUCCAUUUGUCCUAGUGAGGCAGGAAAUUAAAGAAAAAUAAAAUUAAAAAGAGAAAUAAGUUUUCCUGUAUUAGGCUAACUUGUCCCAGGCAGCAACAGGCACAGCCCAGACCCAGGAAAAUUCUUGCUAAUAUUAUCUAAUGUGCUCUGGAGGCUCUCCCAGCAUUCCCUCAACAUACGGAGAAGAAAAACCAAAUUUUCCUUUAUUUUAUGGAAUGAGUUUAUAGAUUCCUGUUCUCUGUAACUAGUGACUUCAAGUAUUGUUUUAUCUAAGAAGUACAACGAAGGUCAUGAGAAGCCUGAGUAGGCCUGAACUACAGCUGCCUGGGCACCAUAGUGAAGGUUAUGGGAUAAGCCCGUGCCUAGGCAAACCUAGAUAACGGACAUCUGGGUUGCAUAGCAAUGGUUAUGUGCAAUCCUACGUUAUACACCUGUUACAAUUUGAUUAACUGUCUUUGUCCUGCCUCUGUAUCCCUGCUUUCACACCACUGUAAGCUUGCUUCAAGCUAGCCGACCCCCUUUUCUAAAGUGUAUAUAAAAGUCAAGUGCUGUCUUUGUUCUGGGCCCAGUCUUUGGACGUGAGUCUGCUGGGCCUGAGUGCACUCAAUAAAAGGUUCUCCUGUUUUAACCCGAGACCUCUCUUGUCCUCCUGGAUCCCGCAACAAUAGAGCCAAAAUCUUGGUCGUUGAAUUUUCUCCUUUAAUGGGACAAAGUCUUCAGGGGCCACCACUUCUCA
rnacentral:lncRNA from 1 species